rnacentral:rRNA from 1 species
CCUACGGGAUGCACCAGUGGGGAAUAUUGCACAAUGGGCGCAAGCCUGAUGCAGCCAUGCCGCGUGUAUGAAGAAGGCCUUCGGGUUGUAAAGUACUUUCAGCGAGGAGGAAGGCAUUAAGGUUAAUAACCUUAGCGAUUGACGUUACUCGCAGAAGAAGCACCGGCUAACUCCGUGCCAGCAGCCGCGGUAAUACGGAGGGUGCAAGCGUUAAUCGGAAUUACUGGGCGUAAAGCGCACGCAGGCGGUCUGUCAAGUCGGAUGUGAAAUCCCCGGGCUCAACCUGGGAACUGCAUUCGAAACUGGCAGGCUAGAGUCUUGUAGAGGGGGGUAGAAUUCCAGGUAUAGCGGUGAAAUGCGUAGAGAUGUGGAGGAACACCAGUGGCGAAGGCGGCUCUCUGGUCUGUAACUGACGCUGAGGCGCGAAAGCGUGGGGAGCAAACAGGAUUAGAUACCCCUGUAGUC